GCCUCGGUGGUGUAGUGGUCAAGACGCGCGCCUGGUAAACAGGCAGCGUGGGUUCAACCCCAGCCGAGGUA
rnacentral:tRNA from 1 species